rnacentral:rRNA from 1 species
CUAGCGUUGUUCGGAAUUACUGGGCGUAAAGCGCGCGCAGGCGGUCUUCCAAGUCAGUGGUGAAAGCCCGGAGCUCAACUCCGGAACUGCCAUUGAAACUGUUAGACUUGAGGAUGAGAGAGGUGAGUGGAAUUCCCAGUGUAGAGGUGAAAUUCGUAGAUAUUGGGAAGAACACCAGUGGCGAAGGCGGCUCACUGGCUCAUUACUGACGCUCAGGCGCGAUAGCGUGGGGAUCAAACAGG